CGAGACCUCAGGUCAGACGGGGCUACCCGCUGAGUUUAAGCAUAUCAAUAAGCGGAGGAAAAGAAACUAACAAGGAUCCCCCCUUUAGUAACGGG
rnacentral:rRNA from 1 species